CGCAGCCCUCGAUCCAGACAGGCAAUAUCAGCAGAAGCUAUAACACUCCACCGAAGUGAAGCCACAUUCAACUGCCAUUAUCUUGCCAUCCGAAUCGAUGCUGGCCCAGUGAAAUACGAGUGCACAACUCAAGAAGAGAAGAUAAUCGUAAAACACCAAGUCUGAUCUAAUGCCCUUCCCUUUCAACAAUUUCACGUACUUUUCACUCUCUUUUCAAAGUUCUUUUCAUCUUUCCAUCACUGUACUUGUUCGCUAUCGGUCUCUGCCCAAUAUUUAGCUUUAGAUGGAAUUUACCACCCACUUAGAGCUGCAUUCCCAAACAACUCGACUCUUCGAUAGCACCUUACAUAGGAAUGGGCAUCUCAUCAGACGGGAUUCUCACCCUCUAUGACGUCCUGUUCCAAGGAACAUAGACAAGAGCCAAMCCCAAGGUUACCAUCUUCAAAUUACAACUCGAACACCGAAGGUGCUAGAUUUCAAAUUUGAGCUUUUGCCGCUUCACUCGCCGUUACUGAGGCAAUCCCUGGU
rnacentral:rRNA from 1 species